AAUUUGAUCAGGAUGCCCUUGAGUCCAUCAUGCAAGUCGUUGAUAAAGAUGUUGAAUAAGACCGCGCCCAAGACAGAACCCUGUGGCACCCCACUAGUCACUCUUCUCCAGGAUGAAGAGGAACCAUUGAUGAGCACCCUUUGGGUUCGGUCAGUCAGCCAGUUACAAAUCCACUGAGAGGUAGCAUAGUCAAGACCGCAUUUUACCGCUUCUUUACAAGAAUAUCAUGGGGCACCUUGUCAAAUGCCUUGCUGAAAUCAAGGUAGGCUACAUCCACUGCGUUCCCUUCAUCUACCAGGCUUGUAAUUCUGUCAAAAAACGAGAUCAGGUUAGUUUGACAUGACUUAUUUUUCAGAAAUCCAUGCUGACUAUUGGUGAUCACAGCAUUCCUUUCUAGGCGCUCACAGACUGUUUGCUUAAUGAUCUGCUCCAGAAUCUUCCCUGGUAUUGAUGUCAGACUGACUGGGCGGUAAUUAUUUGGGUCCUCUCUUUUCCCCUUUUUGAAAAUAGGGACAACAUUUGCCCUCCUCCAGUCUGCCGGGACUUCGCCUGCUCUCCAGGAAUUCUCAAAGAUGACUGCCAGUGGUUCUGAGAUCACAUCUGCCAGUUCUUUUAAUACUCUUGGAUGCAGUUCAUCUGGCCCUGGAGACUUGAAUACAUCUAAACUAGCCAAGUAUUCUUGUACUAUCUCCUUAGUUAUUCUGGGCUGUGUUUCCUCUGCUGAAUCAUUUGCUCCAAAUUCUUCAGGUCGGGCAUUGUUUUCUUUAUCGGAGAAGACUGAGGCAAAGAAGGCAUUGAGGAGUUCAGCCCUUUCUGUGUCCCCUGUUUGCAUUUCACCAUCUUCUCCUCUGAGUGACCCCACUGUUUCUUUGUUCUUCCUUCUGCUACUGAACAUACCCAUAAAAGCCUUUUUGUUGCUUUUAACCUCUCUAGCAAGCCUGAGUUCAUUCUGUGCUUUAGCUUUUCUGACUUUGUGUCUACACGUGCUGGCUAUUUGUUUGAAUUCCUCUUUGGUGGUUUCCCCCCUUUUCCAUUUUUUGUACACAUCCUUUUUAAUCUUAACUCAGUUAAAAGUUCUUUAGAUAGCCACCCUGGCUUCUUUAGGCACCUUCCAUGUUUCCGUCUCAUUGGUAUUGCCUGACGUUGUGCUUUUACUAUCUCCCUCUUAACAAACUCCCAGCCAUCAUGAACUCCCUUUCCUUUUAGUAUUACUGUCCAUGGGAUCUCACCCAGCACUUCCCUAAGUUUUAUGAAGUCGGCUUUCUUAAAGUCAAGAAAUUGAGUCCUAGUAUGCUUGGCUGCUCCUUUCCGCUGUAUAGUAAACUUCAGAAGAGCAUGAUCACUCGCGCCUAAUGAUCCUUCCACUUCUACCCCACUAACCAGGUCAUCAACAUUGGUUAGGACCAGAUCUAAAAUGGCUGUUCCUCUUGUUGCUUCUCCCACUUUCUGGACAAUGAAGUUGUCUGCAAGGCCAGUGAGGAAUCUGUUUGACCUUACGCUCUUGGCUGAGUUUGACAUCCAACAAAUAUCCGGGUAAUUGAAGUCCCCAUUACUACUAUCUCCCUUCCUUUUGCAUGCUUGGCCAUCUGUUCCAGGAAGGCAUCAUCUAUGUCCUCCGUUUGGCUUGGGGAUCUAUAGUAAACUCCCACAAUGAGGUCACUGUUAUUCUUCUCUCCCUUAAUUUUGACCCAAAUGCUCUCACUUUGGCUUUGAGGUUCUAAAUCUUGGAUCUCUUCACAGGUAUACACAUCCCUGACAUAUAACGCCACUCCUCCUCCUUUCUUGUCUGGUCUGUUUCUCUGAAAUAGAUUGUAUCCCCCCAUUAUUACAUUCCAAUCAUGGGACUUAUCCCACCAGGUUUCAGUGAUGCCUAUUAUGUCAUAUUUAGUUUGCUGUACCAAGAGCUCAAGCUCAUCUUGUUUAUUUCCCAUGCUUUGCACAUUAGUCUACAGACAUUGAAGUCCAUUAAUCAUUCCCCUGUGCCUCUUAUUUAAGGAUUUUUUCCUCCCACCACUAGGUCUGCGUGCUGUUUGCUCCAUUUGGUCUAUGACAUUUGGAUGAUCAUCUUCAUCAAUUGAUAGACUCCUACCUUCAGGAGCACUGUCUCCCUCCCCCACAUUAGUCAGUUUAAAGCCCUCCUGAUGAGGUUUCUGAGAUUUUUGGCAAAAACAUUUCUCCCAACCGUUGUGAGGUGCAGCCCAUCGCUUGCCAGAAGUCCAUCUUCAAGAAACUGCAGUCCGUGAUCUAAGAAUCCAAACCGUUCCUGUUUACACCGUUUGCGAAGCCAGCUGUUCACUUCCACUAUUUUCCCCUCUCUCCCUGGGCCACGUCGUUCAACUGGGAGGACAGAUGAGAUGACAAUUUGUGCAUUUAAUUGCUUCAAUUUCCUGCCCAGAGCCUCGUAGUCUCUUUUGAUCUUCUGGAGGCUAUUGCUUGCAGUGUCAUUGGUUCCACAUGAACCAAGAGGAAGGGGUAUUUGUCAGUGGGUUUUAUGAUUCCUUGCAGUCGUUCAGUUACAUCUUGGAUCUUAGCCCUGGGAGACAGCACACUUCCCGAGACAUCUUGUCAGGCCCACAGAUCACUGCUUCUGUUCCCUCAGUAGGGAAUCCCCUAUCACCACUACACGCCUCCUCUUAGGUUUGGUCAGGGUUCUUCCGUGAGCUGUCCGUUCCAAGGUCGCCUGCACAUUCCCUGAGGACUGACUUUGCUGCUCGUCUUCAUAUACCUGAUCGACUGUAAUGAGGGAGAGAUCCUCAAAUGGAGUCUGCUCUUCGUCUUCCAUGCUAGGGGAGAGGACCUCAAAGCGAUUGUGUAUUUCUAAACAAUCAGAGCGAACCCUGGGCCUCCUACUUCUUUGAGUCACGUUUCUCCAUAUAUCUGGCUCCUGUCUUGGUGAACUAGUGUCCUUCUCAGGGGAGUCCCCUGUCUCCUCCUUGGUGGAGAUGGUGUGCUCUGUUGCUUACAAGAAGAGCUCCAGCUCUCUAAUUCUUUGGAGCGUAGCUACACGUUCCUCCAGUUGCUGGACUUUGUCUUUUAAGAGGGCAAUCAACAUGCAAUUGCUGCAGGUAAAGCUGCCUGCAACCUUUGGCAAGAUGGCAGACAUUGCACAGGAACCGCAGGCGACUGCAGCUGUUCCCUCCCCCUCCAUCUUGAGAACGUGUCGUUGGGGGUGGCUACAGCGGUCCUCCAUCAUAAAAAGCGCGAAGACAGGACAAAUAACUCCCCCCACAAAAAAACCUAGGUCUCCCCCAACAAACGUUUGAGACUAGCUCCCCUAAAUCUAAAAGAUGGAUCAAACUUUUUUUUUUAAUUAAUAUUUAUUAAAGUUUCAGAAAAAAUAAAAUCACAUUAAUAAACAAGAGAAAUUUG
rnacentral:lncRNA from 1 species